GUGAUAAUGGAGCCACAUGCCCAGGCUCAACCCAGGCCCAAGGAACUUGACCUGAAGCAGGAGGGCAAGAAGUCAGCUGAGCUUUGUUUGGAGGAGAUGCUGAGGGCUGCUACCGUUUUAUUCCUUGGCUUUGGAGGGGAGACUGUAGACCAAACAUAGCUGUUUGAAAACCAAAAUGUAGAUACUUGUCUUUUCAGACUCCUUUAAGGUCUCCUUUAUAGGAGAAAUGCUUUCCUUUUUUACUUGUCAAGAGCAAAUAGUGAGAAAUAUCUUUAAUAUGUGAAAAACAAAAACAAAAAUAAAAACAAAAACCUAACCACCCCCCAAACCCAGCCCUCAUCAUUUAAAAGCUGCAGGAGGGCAGUGAGGAGUGGGUGUGUGACAUCUGCUCUGUCAUGGGCAGUUUCGGGUGUAAAUCCUAGGUUCUGAUUUACCGGAAUAUCUCAGGCAGUAGAGCUCCACGGCUUCCUAGUAGAGAUUUUAAUGGCCAUACACAUCUGGGACAGACCCUUAAAUCUGUGUCUUCUUGGAAUUUAAAAAAAAAGGAAAAGAAUAAAGAACUUUUGCUGUCUAGGAAUAGUUGUUGACAAGUUGCUCAGAGUAGAGAUCUAAUAAAGCAACUGUCCCCUUGCCCCUUGAACAGCCAUUUUGCAAUCUUUUCAGUCUCUUCCAUUCCCAACCCAUUGUACAGUUUGCGUGGUCAUCUUCUGAGCAUGUUGAGAAAAUACAUACUUUUUUUUUCUUAACUUCUUUGCUUUCUCGGUUAUCUGGUACUAUCUGGUAUUAACACCAUGUUUCAUUCCCUUAUAUGUAUGUUUUCAGUAGAUUCACAUUGGCUUUAAAGACCCCAAUUUUUAGCUUCUCUUUAUGAUUUCUUUCACCAAAGCAACCUGUAAUAAACAUCUAAUCAACCCAGCAAAACCUAGUCAAGGCAUGUUGGUGGCUUUAUGCCUCUGACUCUUACUCUUUCUUCCUGCUGCUGGUUCAGGGAAAUGUGUAUCAAAAUUUUGUUUCAAAUUCUGUUUUAAAAGAUGCUGGAGCCUCAAUAUAUAGAUAAUGAAUGGAAAACCUUCAAGAAAUAUUUACACACGGACAUUGAAAUCAAACCUUGGUUCAGCAAAGCUCUUCUUCAUUUGGCUGAUUUAUUUUUAGAGGGCAGGUCAUUUCAUUUUUUUUUUUUUAAUUCUCUUUCCUUUCUUCCCUUCUCCUCCCCCCUCAGCUCUGAUUGUCUCCCAGGACCAGGAAGUUUAUAUGUAAACACAAGCGGUAAUGGACCCCUGACCUGCUCAGGGCUUUCAACCCAGUCAAUCCACAGAGGGAUUAACCCCAAAUACCGACUGGAUCUCAGAGGGUUCCAGACCUGCCUGUUCUCAUACUGCACGGACAGCCUUUUUCCAAGCCAAGGAACCUGCAAACUCGGAGAUUUUCUUCGUAGACCUUCUCCUGGCAGCUGGACCCGCAACAAUCGCUCACAAGAGACAAUGUAUCUGUGUUUUAGAGUCUCUUUGUUACAAAUGGGUCCAGAAGUUUCCCAUGUUGUUACGAAGGGGGUGGGGACAGAGAAGGGGCCCAGAGAGGCUACGCACUCAACAGCCCCUAACAGCUGUGGAAAGUUUGAUGCAGCAGGGGCACCCAGACAGAAAAUUAAAAAACUAAUAAAGUCCUCAGUGUGGGGCGCUGGC
ensembl:lincRNA